GAUGAACGCUGGCGGCGUGCCUAAUACAUGCAAGUAGAACGCUGAAGGAGGAGCUUGCUCUUCUGGAUGAGUUGCGAACGGGUGAGUAACGCGUAGGUAACCUGCCUGGUAGCGGGGGAUAACUAUUGGAAACGAUAGCUAAUACCGCAUGACAACAGUUAUUGCAUGAUAACUGUUUAAAAGGGGCAACUGCUCCACUACCAGAUGGACCUGCGUUGUAUUAGCUAGUUGGUGAGGUAACGGCUCACCAAGGCGACGAUACAUAGCCGACCUGAGAGGGUGAUCGGCCACACUGGGACUGAGACACGGCCCAGACCCCUACGGGAGGCAGCAGUAGGGAAUCUUCGGCAAUGGACGGAAGUCUGACCGAGCAACGCCGCGUGAGUGAAGAAGGUUUUCGGAUCGUAAAGCUCUGUUGUAAGAGAAGAACGAGUGUGAGAGUGGAAAGUUCACACUGUGACGGUAGCUUACCAGAAAGGGACGGCUAACUACGUG
rnacentral:rRNA from 1 species